rnacentral:rRNA from 1 species
GGUCUGUUCGCCCUUUAAAAUCUAACAUGAGCUGAGUUCAGAACGGCGUGAGCUAGUUCAGUUUCUAUCCUCUUUUUGAAAUGAGCUAAUUUUGUACGAAAGGACUUUUUCGCUAAAGCAAUGCUUUGUCACAAAUCUGUGGUUGCAUAAAUAAUAGUGCAUAAUAGGUUGAUUAGCCCAUAGAAAGGGUUA